AAGCUUGAUUGUUAGCUGGCCCGAGGUUGCAGACUGUCUUCCCCUCCCUGCGUUGCAGCAUCAUCACUCCCUCCAUCCUUCUCCCAUGCGCUGCCUAGCUAAUUUCAUCCGGCCCCUCCCUGGAAUUAUUAGCUGUUGUCGCGCCUCCUUAGUUGCCUACCAGCUGCCGCCUCGAAAGCUCGCCCUCUGCAUUCACCUCUGAUCAGCUCUGCCCGCUGCCCCUGAACUCCCGAGCUCUCUCCCUCUGUCGUCUCAGCCUUCUGCCCUCGGAGCUCGAGCUCGAGGUGGAGCUCCCAAGCUGUCCCUCUAGCUGUACGUCCUCCUAGCAGAUCUGCAGCUCCUCCAUUCUAGAGCACACCUCUGUGCUCCUCUAUUCGAGCUUAAGCUCAAGCUGCGGAUCCCGAGCUGUUGCUGUCCCGAGCUGCUCCUCCGUCCCGGCCUCCCAACUGUACUCCCGUGCUGCUGCAUGCAUCCCGGUCUGCUCCCAAGCUGCUCCGUCCCUCUUUGCUAGCUCCUCCAUCCCAAGCACGCUGAAGCUUCUCUGCUGUUGUGCCCUCCAUCCCUCGAAUUAGCUUCUCGAAGCUCCUGCGAGCUGUGUUGUGCCUGCCCUUCGAGCUUCAACGCUGAAGUUGCUGUUGCCUCCUCUGAUCCGUCCCGAUCCCGAGCUACGUGUGCUAUGAUCUGCAUGCUCCUCCCCUCCGCUGCUCUAUAGAGAUCUGAUCUGUCCCCGAGCUCGGCCUCCCGGCGCCGUCCCCCGCGAUCUCAAAAAAUAUAUAGAAGGGUCCGUGGGUUGCAUUUUAGAGCUAUCUCCGAUAUUGAGCUUAUGAGGUUGAGGUAUGCUCGAAUUUCGAUAUAUAUAUAUAUAUUUAAAAUGCAAAUUGAGUCUUGAUUGUUGAUGACCCUAGGGCAGUCGCUUUUACGAAUUAAAUGAUUGUGGAGAAGGAGGAUGGGCUUUGGGGAAGGUUUAACCUUCCCGUUGUAGAUUUGGUUAUUCUUUGUUGAUUGCUGUGAAGUAAUAAGGGUAUUAUCAUUCCUGAAUUGAUGCACAUUAUUUUUUGUUUUUGCUUUAUAGCCGUAUAAGUUCUCAAGUUAUAUAUGUUCAUACUUUUUUAUUUAUAGAUGAAUAUUUCAGAAGAUCAUGUGUAGAUGUAUGAUAGGACGAAUCGUAAUAAGGGAGGUCUUAAGAAAACCUUCGUGGAUAGGGGUGAGAGAAUUUAUUAAGCGCGCUAGCAAUUUGCUGCAGAUAACGAUCUAAGAAAAAUUAUUUUCCCAUAUUUAAAGUGCCAAUUUAAAGGAAAUUUCAUGUAUCCAGACGAAGUUCAGCUUGAUCUGUAUAAGAACGGUUUCAAGCCAAAUUAUUGGUACUGGACUGAUCAUAGGGAGGAGUGGCCUAACGUUUACGGAGUCAUCUUCUGUCGGAUUUGCUCCGAAUCCUCCUGCAGUUGAGGAUCUUCACAAUUCAUUAAAUAGAUAUAGAGACAUGGUCUAUGAUGCGAUGGGAGAGGAUUAUGGCCAUCACACGGGUGGUGAAGAUCCUAAUCCGAAGGCUAUGAAAUUUUACUGGCUUUUGGAGAAUUAUAACCACCCUAUAUGGCAUGGUUGCGAGCGGCAUUCCGCCCUUUCAAUUGCCGUGAGAUAUCUUAGCAUGAAAUGUGAUUAUAAUAUCCCACAAGUCGAUGUGGAUGACCUUCUUGGCUUACUACGAAAUGAGUUGGCUCCGAAGAUGAAUAAUGUCCACAAGAAUUUCUAUGAGGCGAAGAAGUUAUUGUCAUCUCU